CUCCGCGAAGGCUUUCCUCGCCGCUGCGGCUCGCGCCUUGCUUCUUCCCCUAGGUUCACCUGCCUGCCCGAGUGACUGAGAGCCGAGCGGACCGGCCCCCGCCGCCCGGAACGCACUUCCAGUCCCAUGGAGCCCGAACUCCUGCUCGGCAUCUCUACUUUCCGCUCCGGCUGAGCUGCUCUGGAGCCCGAGACCGGGGAGGCGCGACUCUCGGCCCACAGCCGCACCGCCGCCGGGUGCUGUCCGCCCUCCGAGACCCGCGCCAGCACAUCGUAUGGGACUGGGGCUCCAAUGGCAAACAUGACUUCAUUGGCGAAUACACCUCAGCAUUCAAGGAGAUGAAAGGAGUGAUGGAAGGGAAACAGGUCACCCACAACAUGGAAGAAAUCGACUCCUAAUACAAUCUUCCCACAGUAUCUCUAAGUUACAUGUGGACUUUGGGUGAAAUGGAUCUGGAUCCACCAUGAGUUCAGCUUCAGGACAGCACUCAAUCAAGUCCAUGCAGACAGGAACCAGUUGUCUUUAGGAACUUCCAGAGGAGGCACCACCAUGGGAUUACAAGUCUCAUGUGUGGGGCCCCAGCUGAAGAACCAAGAUGAGCAGAGAAAGAUCCUUCCUCCUCUGCAGAGAGACCCUCCCUCGAUAUGUGGUCACCCCAGACACCUGCUCACCCCAAGUACCUGGUCACCUGGGCUAUCUGAUUGGUUCCUCGUCCUCCACCUCCCCCAGGCGAUGACUUAUCGCAACGAUCCUGGCAGCUGCUGAAUAAAAUCUGUGUGGGCUGCUUUAAAGACCAUCUGGCUCUGGUUCUGUUUGAAAGAGGAUGCAGCAGGAAGAUGACUGUCUCCAUGCCAAAGAGGGAGGCCACAGAGAAACCAACCCUGCCAACACGUUGAACUCGGAGCUCCAGCCUUUGGAACCUAAAUUGAUCACCCUUUGUCAAAUGAAGAAACCAGAACUUACCAACCCAAAAUGUGCCUGUUUGGUGUUAAGGAUAUUUCUGAGCAGAAGGCCGCUAAGAACCAGCAGACUCAGGAAACUUGAGAACAGGACUCAAGCAUCCCUUCCGUAAAGGAAAUCUCCAUUGAUAAAGGAAAUGCCUGCUUGUAGGGACCUCUUCUUCCAUAUGUGGAAGAGGAGGCUGCUUGAUAAUGCUCAUCAAUUAAAAAAAAAAUCACCAACUUGAAUCCACAUCACAAACUUCCCUAAACACCCUCAUUCACUGGGCUUUCCUGACCUACUCGCCCCAGACACCUUUCCUUUGUCCAGCCCAUGAUGGUAUUACGUCCCCAGUUCUCACUGCCCCCCUUGGGUAACAUUUCUUUCUAAACUCCCACAUGUCAUUCAAACAUUUAUGAAACAGGGCAUAAGCUGUUAGUCUGUCUUUUCUCAGUUUAACUUCUGGGUUCCAAGCACAGAGCCUGGAAGUGGAGAGGGCACUGGGCUGGCUGCCAUCCACCGUGAAAGCCAUGCUGGAGUCUUCAGGAAUGGCAGGAGCCACUGUUAAACACAGCUCGUGUCAGAAGUGUACUUACAACCUUGGCACUGAAUAAACCAUAAAGGCAGCAAACCCUUGAAACUCACCACUGUGACCAGACCUCACCACUUAUCAUCGUACUUUAUCUACUACCAUCUCUGUGCUGGCUCCCCCACCUCCCCCUACAGCGUGUGUGGUGGAAACGCUCUCUGGGUUUCUUCCCAACCCCAUGUUCAGGAAUGCCACAUUGAAAGCUUUAAACUGGCUACCGUGGGAAUACCUACACCACAGAAACAACAAAUGCCACAACCCAGCCUUGGUUGAUUGUUUUGCUGAUGGUCUAAACUUAGAAAGUGAUGGGGAGGGGAGUUCCCAUCGUGGCACAGUGGUUAACGAAUCCCGACUAGGAACCAUGAGGUUUCGGGUUCAAUCCCUGGCCUGGCUCAGUGGGUUAAGGAUCUAGCAUUGCCGUGACCUGUGGUGUAGGUUGCAGAUGCGGCUUGGAUCCUGUGUUGCUGUGGCUCUGGCAUAGGCUGGCGGCUACAGCUCCGAUUAGACCCCUAGCCUGGGAACCUCCAUAUGCCACAGGAGCGGCCCAAGAAAU
rnacentral:lncRNA from 1 species